UACAGGGGUGUCAAACGUUGUCCGGAAUUACUGGGCGUAAAGGGCGCGUAGGCGGCCUUAUAAGUCAUUUGUGAAAGCUCUGGGCUCAACCCAGGAAUUGCAAGUGAUACUGUAAGGCUUGAGUUCGGUAGAGGAGGGCGGAAUUCCAGGUGUAGCGGUGAAUUUCGUAGAUAUCUGGAGGAACACCCGUGGCGAAGGCGGCUCUCUGGUCCUAAACUGACGCUGAGGUGCGAAAGCUAGGGUAGCAAACAGG
rnacentral:rRNA from 1 species